rnacentral:rRNA from 1 species
UACGGAGGAUCCGAGCGUUAUCCGGAUUUAUUGGGUUUAAAGGGUGCGUAGGCGGCCUAUCAAGUCAGAGGUGAAAGACGGUAGCUCAACUAUCGCAGUGCCUUUGAAACUGGUGGGCUUGAAUGCACUUGAGGUGGGCGGAAUGUGACAAGUAGCGGUGAAAUGCAUAGAUAUGUCACAGAACCCCGAUUGCGAAGGCAGCUCACUAAGGUAUGAUUGACGCUGAUGCACGAAAGCGUGGGGAUCAAACAGG